ensembl:lncRNA
UACUCCCCUCCUCUCUUCCAGUCUCUUCAUUACUCCCCUCCUCUCUUCCAGUCUCUUCAUACUCCCCUCCUCUCUUCCAGUCUCUUCAUUACUCCCCUCCUCUCUUCCAGUCUCUUCAUUACUCCCCUCCUCUCUUCCAUUCUCUUCAUACUCUCCUCCUCUCUUCCAGUCUCUUCAUACUCUCCUCCUCUCUUCCAUUCUCUUCAUUACUCCCCUCCUCUCUUCCAUUCUCUUCAUACUCCCCUCCUCUCUUCCAGUCUCUUCAUUACUCCCCUCCUCUCUUCCAUUCUCUUCAUACUCCCCUCCUCUCUUCCAGUCUCUCUCUUCUUUUCCUCUUUUCUCACAUUUUUUUUAAUGUCUCCUACCUCCUACCUGGUCCCUGUUGUAUCCCUCUCUUUCUACUCUGUCUCCUACCUCCUACCAGGUCCCUGUUGUAUCCCUUUCUUUCUACUCUGUCUCCUACCUCCUACCCGGUCCUUGUUGUAGCGACAGCAGCCACCCACCUUCCACAUCCUGUUGCUGUUCAGUACUAGCAGCUGAGACUGAGACUGAGACUGGGUCUGAGACUCCCCUGUGGCCAUGUAGUGGGAGGACAACACAACAUAACAGGGGACAGUGUAUAGGGGAGAGCAGUCUAAUCUACAUGACAUUGGUUUACAUUCUAGGUUGGGUAACAGACAACUGCUGAUGUAAAGAGGGCUUUGUAAAAUACAUUAAAAAAUAUCAUAUUCUAUUCUAUUCAAUUUCAUUCAAAUUUCUAUUCUAGAUUCUACUCUAUCAAGCUGCUUACUGCAGUGCCAUCAUACUCCUGUGUGUGAGUGUGUGUGUGUGUGUGUGUGUGUGUUGAUGAUUAAUUACUGUUGUGUCUAUCUCUAAGGGGCCAGGCUACUCUCUCUCUCUCUUCUUCUUCUUUCUCUGUCUGUGCCUCCCUUCCUAGCUGAGACAGAGACCAGAUGAUAUUUGUAAAACUAUGCUCUCACUAGCUCCAGUCCUGGAUGUUCCACUCGCUCUUUUGAAGCAGGGACAAAGCAGUGUUCUGCUGGAACAACAACCUGUUUCUGAUUCCUCACUCUUGCUGAGUAUGCUUCUCACUUUCUCCCUCUCUCUCUCUCUUCCUCCAAAUCACUUUCUCUCUCUCUCUGUCUCUCUCUCUGUCUCUCUCUCUCUCCCUCCAAAUCACACUUUCUCUCUCUCUCUCUCUCUCUCUCUCUCUCUCUCUCUCUCUCUCUUCUCCCUCUUCCUCCGAAUCACACUUUCUCUCUCUCUCCCUCCCUCCCAAUCACUUUCUCUCUCUCUCCCUCCCUCCCAAUCACAAAUCUCUUCUCUCUC